ensembl:lncRNA
GCUACAAUGUAAAGUAGUGAGUAUACAGCUUGUAUAACAGUAAUACCAAAAGUGUACUCACUUUUGUGAUAUACUGUACGUACAGUCCCUGUGGGGACGACGUCCUCGAUGCACUUAUUGAUAAAGCCAGUGACUGAUGUGGUGUAUUCCUCAAUGUCAUCGGAAGAAUCUCGAAACAUGUUCCAGUCUGUGAUAGCUAAACAGUCCUGUCGUUUAGCAUCUGCUUCAUCUGACCACUUUUUUAUAGACUGAGUCACUGGUGCUUCCUGCUUUAAUUUUUGCUUGUAAGCAGGAAUCAGGAGGAUAGAGUUGAGGUCGGAUUUAUCAAAUGGAGGGCGAGGGAGAGCUUUGUACACGUCUCUGUGUGUGGAGUACAGGUGAUCUAGAAUUUGUUUCCCUCUGGUUGCACAUUUAACAUGUUGAUAGAGGUUUGGUAGAACAUAUUUAAGUUUCCCUGCAUUAAAGUCUCCGGCCACUAGGAGCGCCACCUCUGGGUGACUGGUUUCCUGUUUGCUUAUUUCCUUAUACAGCUGACUGAGUGUGGUCUUAGUGCCAGCAACUAUUUGUGGUGGUAAAUAAACAGCCACAUAAAGUAUAACUGAGAACUCUCUAGGCAAGUAGUGUGGCCUGCAAUUUAUCACAAUAUACUCUACUUCAGGUGAGCAAAAUCUAGAGACUUCCUUAGAUUUUGUGCACCAGCUGUUGUUUACAAAUAUGCACAGACCGUCCCCCCUUGUCUUACCGGAGUGUGCUGUUCUAUCCUGCCGGUGCAGCGUGUAUCCCGCUAGCUGAAUAUCCAUGUCGUCACAUUCAGCCACGAUUACGUGAAAUAUUGGAUAUUACAUUUUUUGAUGUCCCGUUGGGAGGAUAUUCGUGAUCGUACCUCGUCUAGUUUAUUGUCCAAUGAUUGCACGUUGGCGAGAAAUAUUGACGGUAACGGCAGCUUUCCAACUCGCCUUCACCGGGUGCUGACCAGACAUCUGGCUCUUUGUCCUCUGUACCUGCAUCACUUCCUCUUGCAAUUAACUGGGAUGACGGCCCUGCAGGGUGUUUGGAGAAUAUCAUGUGAGUCUUGCUUGUUGUUGAAAAAGUCUUUGUGUAAUCCGAGGUGAGUGAUCUCUGUCCUGAUAUCCAGAAGCUCUUAGUCUAAUCCAAGGUGAGUGAUCUCUGUCCUGAUAUCUAGAAACUCUUAGUCUAAUCCGAGGUGAGUGAUCUCUGUCCUGAUAUCCAGAAGCUCUUAGUCUAAUCCGAGGUGAGUGAUCUCUGUCCUGAUAUCUAGAAGCUCUUAGUCUAAUCCGAGGUGAGUGAUCUCUGUCUUGAUAUCCAGAAGCUCUUAGUCUAAUCCGAGGUGAGUGAUCUCUGUCCUGAUAUCCAGAAGCUCUUUGUCUAAUCCGAGGUGAGUGAUCUCUGUCCUGAUAUCCAGAAGCUCUUUGUCUAAUCCGAGGUGAGUGAUCUCUGUCCUGAUAUCCAGAAGCUCUUUGUCUAAUCCGAGGUGAGUGAUCUCUGUCCUGAUAUCCAGAACCUCUUAGUCUAAUCCGAGGUGAGUCAUCUCGGUCCUGAUAUCUAGAAGCUCUUAGUCUAAUCCGAGGUGAGUGAUCGCUGUCCUGAUAUCCAGAAGCUCUUGUGUGUCUUUGGACAAAUGCUCAAACUUGUACACUUUUGAUAGACUGAAGGGGCAAUCUGUAAUUGCUCCAUCCAUUUCUGGACAUACAAAUGAUAUAUAUUGUCACGACUUCCGCCGAAGUUGGUCCCUCUCCUUUUUCCGGGGGCGAUCGGCGGUCGACGUCACCGAAUUUCUAGCCACCAUCGAUCCAUGUUUCAUGUUCGUUUUGUUUUGUCUUCAUUGUACACACCUGGUUUCCAUUCCAUAAUCAGUGUUCCUUAUUUAACCCUCUGGCUUCCCCUUUUGUUUGGUGCGUGAUUGUCACGGUCAAGUGGUUUAAUUUAUCAAAUCAAAUCAAAUGUAUUUAUAUAGCCCUUCGUACAUCAGCUGAUAUCUCAAAGUGCUGUACAGAAACCCAGGCUAAAACCCCAAACAGCAAGCAAUGCAGGUGUAGAAGCACGGUGGCUAGGAAAAACUCCCUAGAAAGGCCAAAACCUAGGAAGAAACCUAGAGAGGAACCAGGCUAUGUGGGGUGGCCAGUCCUCUUCUGGCUGUGCCGGGUGGAGAUUAUAACAGAACAUGGCCAAGAUGUUCAAAUAUUCAUAAAUGACCAGCAUG